rnacentral:rRNA from 1 species
GACAGAGGUGCCGAGCGUUAGGCGGAAUCACUGGGCUUAAAGCGUGUGUAGGCGGAUCUGUAAGUACCUUGUGAAAUCCCACAGCUCAACUGUGGAACUGCUUGGUAUACUGCUUUUCUUGAGCCACUUAGGGGCUACCGGAACAAAUGGUGGAGCGGUGAAAUGCGUAGAUAUCAUUUGGAACGCCAAUGGUGAAAACAGGUAGCUGGGAGUGUGCUGACGCUGAGACACGAAAGCCAGGGGAGCGAACGGG